UUGAUGACAGUGUGGGGAGGCCUUUGGUUAAAAGGAAGUUUUCUGAGAGCAUGAUUGGAACAGUCCGGGUGUAAUUUUCAUAUGCACAGACUUAAAUUGGCCAAACCUUUACAGCCAUCCUAUUAGCCAUAAUUAUAUAAGCUUUUAAAUAAAUAACUUUUAAAAUAUUUAUUUAUUUAGUUUAGAUAGACAGAAAUGGGGGGGCCCAGGUGAUGGUAUGCCUGGGUAAGUGCAUGUUACAAUGCACAAGGACCCAGAUUCAAGCCUCUGUCUCCACCUGCAAGGGGAAAGCUUUACAAGUGGUGAAGCACUGAUGCAGGGUUAUUGCUGGGGCUCCGUGUCUGCAUGCACCAUGAAUCCACUGCUCCUGGAAGCGAUUUUCACUUGUGAAACAACCCCCCCUGCAGGUGGGGAGCUGGGAGCUCAAACCAGGAUCUUUCAGCCUGCCCUUGCACUUUGCGCCAUGUGUACUUAACCUGCUGCGAUGCUGCCCUACCCCCCCCAAAAAAAAAAAAAAAAAACUUUAAUAUCUGAUGAUCUAAGGUCCCAGGUUUACUGCCAUAAGCAUAACAGUGCUUCAGUUGAAGAAAAAAAGUAACAACAAAAAAAAGGGUGAAUAAUAAUGGUAAAAUAGGAGUUACUGGAACCGCUUGUAAAAAGUUUAGCAUGAUGAGUAGCAUGUAUUAUAUUAAGUGCUCUGUAUCUAUUCGUUACUAUCAUGAUCUUAUUUGAAUUUCCCAGUCCUGAAUCUGAAAUAUCUUUGUUCUUGUUACUGUUAAGAUUCACUUGAGAAGGGAGUCAGGCAGUAGCACAGCACGUUAAGCGCAGGUGGUACAAAGCGCAAGGACCCGCAUAAGGCUCCUGGUUUGAGCCCCCGGCUCCCCACCUGCAGGGGAGUCGCUUCACAGGCAGUGAAGCAGGUCUGUAGGUGUCUAUCUUUCUCUCCCCCUCUCUGUCUUCCCCUCCUCUCUCCAUUUCUCUCUGUCCUAUCCAACAACAGCGAUGACAUCAAUAAUAACUAUAACAAUAAAACAAGGGCAACAAAAGGGAAUAAAUAAAUAUUAAAAAAAAAUCCCCUUGAUAAGAGAGAGAGCCAGAGUAUUUCUCUGAACGCACACAAUGCCAGGAGCUGAGCUCAGGGUUUCAUAAUUAGCAGUCCUGUGUUUCACCACUGCUCCAACUUCCCACCUGCUAAAUCUGUUUCUUUCUCUAUGCCUGGGAAUGAUAUGGUGGGACUGGUGUCUUCUAGAUUUGGAGAGAAAAAUUUUAUUUUUGAGAAUCUUAGCAUACUCUGGCAGUGGCUAGACAGUUUGAUAAAGCUUGACUGUUGUUAUUAUUUGAGAAUUUAUUAAAUGCCAGACCCUGAGUUAAGGUUUGAUUGAGUCUCAUUCAAUUAUUUAUUUAUUUAAUCACAGACCUUGUGUUUACCAUCAUCACUGCUAGGGAUUAUAUUUGGGAAUUCCUGCUUGAGAGUCCAACACUUUAUCUACUGUGCCACCUCCCAGACUACCCUUUGGUUAUGAUUAUGUUGGUUUUGUUUUUACCAAAGCACACUGCUCAGCUCUAUGGUGAUGGUGAGGAUUGUGUUUGGGAGCUCAGAGCCUCAGCCAUGAAAGUUGUUUGCAUAGUCCCCUAUGGUUAUGUUUAAAGAGAGCCUGUUCCAGAGAAUAAAACUAAUGAAAGGGCUGGCACGAUAGCUCAUGAGCGCCUGAGAGGUGGCACACCUGGUAGAGCACAUACAUUACCAUGCAUAAGGACCCAGGUUCUAGUCCCUGGUCCCCACCUGCAGGGGAGAAGCUUCAUGAGUAUGAAGCAGUGCUACAGGUGUUUCUCUUUUUCUCUGUCCUAUCUAAUAAAGGAAGGAAGGAAGGAAGGAAGGGAAAAUGUCCAUCCUGAGCAGUGGAUCUGUAGUGUCAGCUCCCAGCUCCAGCGAUAA